UCCCACACAGAUGGGACGCGGCUUAGGAGGAAUCCCAGGCUGCGGGCAUUCCUUGGCCCAGUGGCCAGAUUUCUGGCACGUGUAGCAAGCUCCUGUGGGAGGAGGUUCUGGAGGAACGCCUGGCCGCUGCGGUUCAGGCGUUUGGAAGUUCUUGUGUGCUGGAGACGUGGCUGGGGUUUGUCUCACAGUGGAGGCAAGGAAUUGCAACUUUUUUCUAUUAUGGUACACCUUGAAGAAAGCAACCCCAAAGAAAUACUCGCAGUUCAGUGCUGAUGUGGCCGAGGCCAUUGCCUUCUUUGACUCCAUCAUUGCAGAGCUGGAUACAGAGAGACGACCCCGGGCUGCUGAGGCCAGCCUGCCAAAUGAAGAUGUGGACUUUGACGUGGCCACCAGCUCCAGGGAGCACAGCUUGCAUUCUAACUGGAUCCUGCGGGCACCGCGCAGACACUCCGAGGAUAUCGCUGCCCACACUGUGCAUACUGUAGACGGCCAGUUUCGAAGGAGCACCGAGCACAGGACCGUGGGCACUCAGAGGAGACUCGAGAGGCACCCCAUUUAUUUGCCCAAGGCUGUGGAAGGGGCCUUCAACACCUGGAAAUUUAAGCCCAAAGCCUGCAAAAAAGACCUGGGGAGCUCCAGACAGAUCCUUUUCAACUUCUCAGGAGAAGAUAUGGAGUGGGAUGCAGAGCUCUUUGCGUUGGAGCCCCAGUUGUCUCCUGGGGAGGACUACUAUGAGACAGAGAACCCCAAAGGACAGUGGCUGCUUCGAGAAAGACUUUGGGAGCGGACGGUGCCCUGACUCCAUCUGGAUUCCUUGACGUGUCUC
rnacentral:lncRNA from 10 species